UACGAGGGGAGCAAGCGUUGUUCGGAUUUACUGGGCGUAAAGGGCGCGUAGGCGGUCGUGACAAGUCACUUGUGAAAUCUCCGGGCUUAACUCGGAACGGUCAAGUGAUACUGUCGGACUAGAGUACAGAAGGGGCAACUGGAAUUCUCGGUGUAGCGGUGAAAUGCGUAGAUAUCGAGAGGAACACCUGCGGCGAAGGCGGGUUGCUGGGCUGAUACUGACGCUGAUGCGCGAAAGCCAGGGAGCGAAGCGGG
rnacentral:rRNA from 1 species